rnacentral:lncRNA from 1 species
UAUCACUUCCAGCGUGUAGAAAUAAUGUAGGACUACAACUAUAAAGCUUCAUAACAUAUUAACAUCAAAACAUGAGCAAGAUCUUUCCGGUCAAACAUGAACACGGAAGUUGCUAAAAAAAAUUCUGGGUUCGUGUUCUUGAGCAGUUUCGGUCAAUGGGUUUUGACCAUGAAUAACUCCCGAUCUAUAACAGAUAUUAACUUGAUU